GUCUCUGUAUCGCAAUGGAUAGUGUGUUGGACGUCAUCCAAAGGUCGUGGGAUCAAAUCCCACCUGGGAUG